AACAGAGGUCCCGAGCGUUGUUCGGAUUCAUUGGGCGUAAAGGGUGCGUAGGUGGCGCCGUAAGUCGGGUGUGAAAUUUCGGAGCUUAACUCCGAAACUGCAUUCGAUACUGCGGUGCUUGAGGACUGGAGAGGAGACUGGAAUUCAUGGUGUAGCAGUGAAAUGCGUAGAUAUCAGGAGGAACACCGAUGGCGAAGGCAGGUCUCUGGGCUGACACUGACGCUCAUGCACGAAAGCGCGGGGA
rnacentral:rRNA from 1 species